rnacentral:tRNA from 2 species
GGUCGGUUGCGUCUCGUUUACACCGAGAAUGUCGGGGGUUCGAGUCCCUCACCGCCCA